GGGUCAGUAGGUUGGUCGUGCCACCGGUACGUACUGGUCUCACUGAUUCCUCCUUCCUGAAGAACCGGAAUGCCAUUAAUUUGGUGUUGCGGGGACACAGGACUGUUACUUUGAAAAAAUUAGAGUGUUUCAAGCAAGCUAACGCUUGAAUACAUUAGCAUGGAAUAAUGAAAUAGGACGAUCGAUCCUAUUUUGUUGGUUUCUAGGAUUGACGUA
rnacentral:rRNA from 1 species